rnacentral:rRNA from 1 species
CAACGAGCGCAACCCCUGUCCUAUGUUGCCAGCACGUAAUGGUGGGGACUCAUGGGAGACUGCCGGGGAUAACUCGGAGGAAGGCGGGGAUGACGUCAAGUCAUCAUGCCCCUUAUGUCCAGGGCUGCACGCAUGCUACAAUGGGCGGUACAACGGGCUGCGAUCCUGCAAAGGUGAGCGAAUCCCUGAAAGCCGUCCCUAGUUCGGAUUGGAGUCUGCAACUCGACUCCAUGAAGCCGGAGUCGCUAGUAAUCGUGGAUCAGCAAAGCCGCGGUGAAUACGUUCUCGGGGCUUGUACACACCGCCCGUCACAUCACGGAAGUCGGUAACGCCCGAAGUCAGUGGCCCAACCCUUUUGGGAGGGAGCUGCCGAAGGUGGGAUCGGUGACUGGGAUGAAGUCGUAACAAGGUAACC